UACGGAGGGUGCGAGCGUUAAUCGGAAUUACUGGGCGUAAAGGGUGCGUAGGUGGUUUAUUAAGUUAUCUGUGAAAGCCCCGGGCUCAACCUGGGAAUUGCAUUUGAGACUGCGUAGCUAGGGUGCGGAAGAGGGAAGCGGAAUUUCCGGUGUAGCGGUGAAAUGCGUAGAUAUCGGAAGGAACACCAGUGGCGAAAGCGGCUUCCUGGUCCAGCACCGACGUUCAGGCACGAAAGCGUGGGGAGCAAACAGG
rnacentral:rRNA from 1 species